UACAGAGGGGGCAAGCGUUGUUCGGAAUUACUGGGCGUAAAGCGUGCGUAGCUGGUUACGUAAGUCGGAUGUGAAAGCCCCGGGCUCAACCUGGGAAUUGCAUUCGAGACUGCAUAGCUAGGAUGCGGAAGAGGGAAGCGGAAUUUCCGGUGUAGCGGUGAAAUGCGUAGAUAUCGGAAGGAACACCAGUGGCGAAAGCGGCUUCCUGGUCCAGCAUCGACGUUCAGGCACGAAAGCGUGGGGAGCAAACAGG
rnacentral:rRNA from 1 species